CUCCUCCUCUCUUCUCUGUCUGUCUCUCUCAUUUUUCCUCCCCAACUAAGGUUGCCGCUGCCGCCGCCCCAUCGCUCCCCACCGGAGAAAGGCCUGCUUCUCCCUAGGGUCUUCUACUCUUGGGGCUAAUCUGACAGGAAGGGCGGCGCUGCUCCUCCCCCGACAGCAAGGCGGGUGUCCUGCACGCUCACCAGCGAGGGAGAGGUUGCCACCUCUCCUCACCUCCUCCCAGGUUCCCGGCUCGAGUGGAGAGGGAUAGCUGCGUCCACAGGUGAAGGCGUUGCUGAGAACUGCCCCUUGUCCUUGUCGAUGGGGAGAAGGGAGCAACAACCUCUUUCUCUAAAAAAGGGAGCACCAACCGUAGCAGGUGGUGGUGUGGGCAAACGCGUUGGAGCCGCUUCGGCUUCUUCCAGCGGCUGUCUCUCCCCCGCCCUCAACAUCUCGCCGGAGCCACCGGAUUUCAGUGCCAAGGGAGAAUAGAAUCAACCGCGUGGCGCGGCCACAAACGCUGGUGAACGUCUCAGAUAUCAAUCAUGGUUACAUCCGGGAGGAAGAGGAGGGAGAGAAAGAGAUGGAUUGGGGAAGAAGAGGGGGUCCUCUGCAGAUCCUUUCUUAUUUUUUUGAAUAAACCUCUGAUUUAGGAGAGCAUGUUCUUAUAAGUUGCUAUUCCACUUUCUGGAUCUCCUGGACUAUAUAUUAAUUUUGGAUUUGUGUCCUGAAGAAUUUUGUUAGCAUUAGUUAGGAAAAAAUGUAUACAUUGGUUCAUAAUUUUUGAUGCAAAAAAGAAAAUGAAUAUAUAUUAUUUUGCAGAUUUGUGAAGUUCUUGUCUACGUGUGGUGAAACAGAGGUGACCAACGAGGACGUCGAGGCCAACUUUUCACCGCAUAUCAAGUAAUAUAAUUCCAGUAUGCAUCUACUUAUAAGCUAAUUAGCACUGUAUUUGUAGAGUUCAAUUGGAAGUUAAUUAGUUUGACAAUGUUAGGCGCCGAUGGCUUUAGAUAUGUAAAUAAAAAUAACUUUUAAGUAAAACUAAGUAUUUAAUUAUUGUUCUGUUGUGUUAUUGAUUUCACUGGUUUUAUGUCAGCCAUGAGUUCUGAAGGAUUCCGCAUCGGCCAGUUUGGAUUAUGUUACUAGAUUAUCGGAAGAACCUCAUGAUAUAUGAAUUUAGAGGAUUUGCUGAGAUUUGAUGCAAAAUAUUGAUGGCCAGGCACUAUAGUGCGCACAAGCACAAUUUUCGGAUUUUCUUGUCAUUUUUGUAGCAGUUUUUCUGUACCAAUAGUGUGACAUCACACUGCUGCAUUUUCACAGGCCAUGGAACAAUGAAGAACUUAGCAAGGAAUACCCAAACGGUCUACUGUUAUAAUUAUGCGUGCAUUUUGGAUCUAUUGGAUGUCUGGAUGUGCCGCAGAUCCACAUUCACUGAUGCAAAGGGCUCAGGAUAAGGAUUUCCUGAUCUUCUGCUUGCCACAUCUUGGUAUUUCUCAUCUGAACAUGAAUUCAGAAUGUUCCCUUUUGCAUCCAAGUAAAACUAUUCAUCGACAUUCUAUCAUUUACCAAAUUGCUCACUUUUCUUAGUGUUGAUAGGGAAUUCACCAUUAGUUACAACUCUGUUUGGUUUUGAGUUACUGUUUCACUAAUUGACACCUGCAAGUAAGGAGUCCUGAUGAAGUGAAUGAUUUGUGUGCGUGAAUCCGAUUAGGCUGUGUUAGGUUGAUACCUUUUGUGCAAAAGGGUUUGGCGAUGUAAGUCUGCUCCCUGUGGUAAUUCUGUUGUGUUGCAUGGCUAGCUUGUCGUACAUGGCUCGAUAUGCAAUUGGCCUGGGAUGACAUGUUUUCACCGAUUAGCUGGUUCCUACUAGCUGUUGCUUUGGUUCCUUUUUAUGUAAAUAUAACUUCCAGGUGUGAUUCUUGGUUAUUUAGAUACUAGCUAUCCUAUACGUAUAUUUCUGAUGAUUCAAUUGGUCUUAGUAAUACUGAAGUAUAGAGUACAGCCUUUAAUUUGUAUGCAAAUAUAAUUCUUUUAUUGCUUUUCAUAGAUUAGUUCAUUCUUUAGGUGUAUAUGCUCUUUAUAGUUUAUGUUUCCCUGUUGUUUAUGUAUGCUUAUAGAAUUAUACUAACCCAAAUGCUGUGAGGUGCUUGGUGUCCUAUAUACAGUAAUAUACCAAGUGCAUGUGUGUGCUUCAUGUUCCGCAUGGAUGCAGAUGGUUAUAGAUGUGCUACCAUGGCCUAUUUCUUAUCUUAUAGGUUAUGGGCGGUAUCUUAUCUUGCCUAAACCUGAUUUGAACAAAUGCUACACUUGCUCUCCCCACUCUUUCUUUCUCUCCUCCUCUCACUUCUCUUGCCAGCCAAUGACGUUGCAUUGAAGCUCUCACUGGGAUUUAACAGAUGCUACACCUAUAUGCUUCGAUGAAGGCGUAGUCCUAGCAUCUCUAGGCUGUCUAAGGACAUCUCCACUCUAAAACCCUACCUCUAUUCUUCUAGCUCAGAUUAACCUUCCUCUUAUGGUAAGCCUGCAUCUCCUAGAUGGUCACUAGGAGAAUGGCGGCGAUGAGGAGGCUCGGCCCUUGGCGCAGACCUGAACCCCUGAGCGGUGGCAGCGUCAGAUCUGUCUGCCUCAUGGGGCCAGGUCUCCGAUCCAUGCCGCGACACUACCGGCAUGGCGGCCCGGGUUCGGGCAGCAUCCAUGGUGUCGGGUGCGCUGGCGAGGUCUCUGGGGAACGAGAGGCAGGGGACUGGCACGGCUUUCGGUCAUAGGUUCUGGUAACGCCAAGCCGUAGAUCUGAGCCACCGUCUCCACAGUAGGCAUAGCCCUAUGGUAGAUGCUUCAUGUGCUCCCUUGAUGUAGUGUCCUCUUGCCACCAUCCUGAGACAAGAUACAAGCACCAUCGUUCUGCUCCUUUAAUUUGUCUGAACUUUCUAAUAGCCGCAUGUUGACUCUAAGCACACUAUUUUAGCUAAAACUAUGUACCGCAGGUGCAGCUUUGACAUGUUGUGAUGGAAUUACCAACCAAGAUCACAUCAAGCAGCAACAAUGUAGCCUUUAGUUUUUAACAAGUGCACUCUUCAGUGUCUGAUGAAUUAUUAACUUGCAAAGACUGCUUGAUGUGGUGGAGAUAGUUACAGUACACCAAGGAAAACAAAUGCGAUGUUGAUACAUGCAAGUAUUGUUUUAUUUUCAAUAUAAAAGUGCCAAAUUUAGCUUGUGCAAGGUUCAACAUUCGAGGCUGGGUGUGAUGAAAGCUUGCAGCCCAUAAUUGGCAUGGUCUUUGUUUGAUGGAAA